rnacentral:rRNA from 1 species
GCGGUAAUUCCAGCUCCAAUAGCGUAUAUUAAAGUUGUUGCAGUUAAAAAGCUCGUAGUUGAACUUUGGGCCCGGUUGGCCGGUCCGAUUUUUUCGUGUACUGGAUUUCCAACGGGGCCUUUCCUUCUGGCUAACCUUGAGUCCUUGUGGCUCUUGGCGAACCAGGACUUUUACUUUGAAAAAAUUAGAGUGUUCAAAGCAGGCGUAUUGCUCGAAUAUAUUAGCAUGGAAUAAUAGAAUAGGACGUUUGGUUCUAUUUUGUUGGUUUCUAGGACCAUCGUAAUGAUUAAUAGGGACGGUCGGGGGCAUCAGUAUUCAAUUGUCAGAGGUGAAAUUCUUGGAUUUAUUGAAGACUAACUACU